CGGCUAAGGUCCCCGAUGGGGGCUAAGUGAACUCAAAGGAGGUCGGACCCCAGCGACAGCCGGGCCGUGGGAUGAGAAGCGUCCACCGGCCAAAGAGUGGGUGAAACCUCACCGGCCGAGGGGUCCGGCGCCGAAAAUUCACGGGUCUCAAGCCCCCCACCGAAGCCGUGACUUGCGAGGCAGAAUCCGCCUCGCAAGGGUAGGGGAGCGUUCCCCGGCGGGUGAAGCUCCGGCGAAAGCCAGGGUGGACGCCGGGGAAGCGAGAAUGCCGGCACGAGUAGCGCCGUCCGGUGAGAAUCCGGACCGCCGCAAGCCUAAGGUUUCCGCGGCAACGUUCGUCGACCGCGGGUCAGGCGGCCCUAAGCCGAGGCCGAAAGGCGUAGGUGAUGGACAGCCGGCGAACAUCCCGGCCCCACCGGGGGCUUCUUCCGUCGGCGACGCGGGACCGCCGCGUCGGGGAGCGACAGGGUCUUCCCCGGCCAGGCCUAACCGCCGAGAAAAACCCGACGGAGCAACCCCCGGUGCCCGUACCUCAAACCGACACCGGUAGGCGAGGAGAGUAUCCUCAGGCGAGCGGAAGAACCCUACCUCAAGGAACUCGACAACUUGGCCCCGUACCUUCGGAAGAAGGGGUGUCCCGGCGUGCGCAAGCACGCCGGGAUCGCAGCGAAGCGGCCCGGGCGACUGUUUAUAAAAAACACAAGUCCCUGCUCAAGCCGUAAGGCGAUGUAUCGGGGCUGACGCCUGCCCAGUCCCGGAUCCUAAGGUCCCCGAGAGGGGGCCGAACCCCCGGGAAACGGCGUCCCGAUCCCAGAUCGGGACCGAAGGUAGCGGAAUGACUGGGCGGCUCAAUACCGCCGUGCACCAGCGGCGUAACGACCCGGGCGUUGUCUCGAGGAGGGAUCCGGCGAAACUCUGUUACCGGUGAACAUGCCGGUGACCCGCGGUAGGAUGGAGAGACCCCGGGGGCUUCACUACAGCCUGCCGUUGGGUCCCGACCGCGCCUGCAUAGGAUAGGUGGGAGCCCCAAUCGGCGACGUUGGAAUACCACCCUGGCGCGGAAGGGACCCUCACCUCCCCCGUGGAGGGGGAGGGACCGCGGCAGGUGGGUAGUUCCGGUUGGGACGGCACCCUCCUAAACCGUAACGGAGGGGCGCAAAGGUUGGCUCAGCCCGCUUGGAAACCGGGCAGGGCGGCCAAGGCCAUAAGCCAGCCUGACUGUGAGAGCCACCGCUCGAGCAGAGAGGAAACUCGGCCCUAGUGAAACGGCGGUACCUCGUGGGAGGGCCGCCGACAGCGGAUACAAGCGAAACCCGGGGACAUCGGGCCGGUCUCCCCCGCGAGACCCCAUCGCCGGGGAGGCUCGGCACCCCGCUACCGGCUCGCCCCAUCCUGGGGCCGCAGGAGGUCCCAAGGGUUGGUCUCCUCGACCAUCAAAGGGGUCCGUGAGCUGGGUCUAGGCCGACGCGAGUCAGGCCGUGCCUUAUCCACCGUGGGCAGCCGAGACUUGAGGGGAGCCGCCCCUAGUACGGGAGGAACGGGGCGGACGGACCGCUGGCGUACCGGUUGCCCCGCCAGGGGCACCGCCGGGUAACCAUGUCCGGAACGGAUAACCGCUGAAAGCCUCUAAGCGGGAAGCCGGCCCCAAGAUGAGGUCUCGUCACCAGGGCCCAAGAAGACGACCUGGUCGAUAGGCCGGGGGUGUAAGGGUCGCAAGGCCCUGAGCCGACCGGUACUAAUCGCCCGAACCC
rnacentral:rRNA from 1 species